rnacentral:rRNA from 1 species
AUGAGCUUCGCGGUGAGCAAGUGCCCGCCGUUGAUGGUCCGACCGUCCAUGGAGCAGACGACGGGGAAGACCCAAGUGGUGCAGCUCUCCUCUUGGGACAGGAGCUACGUGGGCUUCCAGGUCGCGACGCUCCUCAUCUUCGACGGCCCUUUCCACCAGCCCGUGGAGGCCAUCAAGAAGGGCCUCUCCCGGACGCUCGUCCACUACCAGACAGUCGCGGGCCGCCUUGCAGCGGCCGAUGACGACGACGACGACAGCGUUCUCCACGUCGAGUGCACAGGCGAGGGUGUGCCCUUCGUGGCCGCGUCGGCGGGUUGUGCCCUGCAGGACCACGGCCUCCUCGACGCGCCCGUCUCCACGAGCCUCCUUGACGGGCUCGCCUUGUCCUACCCGGCGGGGGCGGAGGGCUGCCGGCUAACCGACCCGCUGCUGCUCAUGCAGGUCACCGAGUUCACCUGCGGCGGGUUCACCGUCGGGGUCACGUGGAACCAUACCCUAGCUGAUGGCGACGGCAUGGCGCAGUUCCUGCAGGCCGUCGGUGAGCUCGCCCGCGCUGAAGCCGAUGAUGUCUUGGUGCCGUCCGUUGCACCGUUGAGGGACGGCCGCGCGGUGUCCCUGCCGCUGCUCUCGCCGCCGGUGGUCGCCGCAAAGCAGUGGCUAAUGCUGGACCGCGGCGGCAUGGGCCUCGUCUACCUAGACAUCACCGUCCCGGUCAAGCUCAUCAACCGCAUCAAGUUCGAGUACAAGGCCGCCCACGCCGAUGACGGCGGGUACUGCACGACGUUUGAGGCGGCGGUGGCCGUGCUCUGGCGGUGCCGCACCCGCGCCAUCAUCGGCGACGACCCGGACUACGACAUGUCCACGCCGGCGCCGCUGGCCUUCUUCGUGAACGUGCGCAAGCACGUUGGCGCGGCGGCAGGGUACUACGGAAACUGCGCGGUGGCGCAGCUGGCCUUGGCGACGACCUGGGAGGUGGCCGGCGCCGGGGAUGGCGGCAUGAACGAUGUGGUGGAUCUGAUCAAGCGCGCCAAGGACCGGGUCACGGAGCUGCUGCGGAACAUGGGGGGCGGCGGCGGUGCCGUGCCGGAGAUGGGAGAGGAGGAGAUGGCUGCGGCCUUCGGGUACAACGCGCUGAUGGUGACCAGCUGGCGGAACAUUGGCUUCGACCGCGCAGACUUCGGCGGCGGCGCGCCGGCGAGGGUGGUGGGGCGGUGGCAGCAGUCGACGGUGCCGGGCUGCAUGGCGUUCCUCUCCUGCAGGGCCACGGCGGCCGACGGCGAGCGGCUGCUGACGCAGUGCGUCACGGAGGAGCACGCCGCGGCGUUGCUCGCGGAGCUGGACCAGCUCGCCUCAGCCCUCAGUAUGCAACUGAUGAACUGA